UACGUAGGGUGCGAGCGUUAAUCGGAAUUACUGGGCGUAAAGUGUGCGCAGGUGGCUUCGCAAGUCGAGUGUGAAAUCCCCGGGCUUAACCUGGGAAUUGCGCUCGAAACUACGGAGCUGGAGUGUGGCAGAGGGAGUGGAAUUCCACGUGUAGCGGAUGAAUGCGUAGGAGAAUGUGGAGGAACACCAAUGGCGAAGGCAGCCUCCUGGGCCAACACUGACACUCAUGCACGAAAGCGUGGGGAGCAAACAGG
rnacentral:rRNA from 1 species